UACGGGGGGGGCAAGCGUUGUUCGGAAUUACUGGGCGUAAAGGGCUCGUAGGCGGCCAACUAAGUCAGACGUGAAAUCCCUAGGCUCAACCUAGGAACUGCGUCUGAUACUGGAUGGCUUGAAUCCGGGAGAGGGAUGCAGAAUUCCAGGUGUAGCGGUGAAAUGCGUAGAUAUCUGGAGGAAUACCGGCGGCGAAGGCGGCAUCCUGGACCGGCAUUGACGCUGAGGAGCGAAAGCCAGGGGAGCAAACGGG
rnacentral:rRNA from 1 species